rnacentral:rRNA from 1 species
CAGUCGCCGCGGUAAUACAGAGGGUGCGAGCGUUAAUCGGAUUUACUGGGCGUAAAGCGUGCGUAGGCGGCUUCUUAAGUCGGAUGUGAAAUCCCUGAGCUUAACUUAGGAAUUGCAUUCGAUACUGGGAAGCUAGAGUAUGGGAGAGGAUGGUAGAAUUCCAGGUGUAGCGGUGAAAUGCGUAGAGAUCUGGAGGAAUACCGAUGGCGAAGGCAGCCAUCUGGCCUAAUACUGACGCUGAGGUACGAAAGCGUGGGGAGCAAACAGGAUUAGAUACCCGAGUAGUCCCUGUCUCUUAUAC